UGUGUGUGUGUGUGUGUGUGUGUGUGUGUGUGUGUGUGUGUGUGCGUGCGUGCGCACACGUGUGUGUGUGUGUGUGUGUGUGUGCGCGUGCGUGUGUGUGUGUCACACUCUGCAUAUUUAAAGUGUAAACUAACAUACAUAAAUAUAGAAACUAUUUAGAUAUGUUUAUAGACACACUGUGUGUGCAAAGUAUCUUUCUCUGUGUGUAUAGAUGUACACGAGUGUUUCAUGUGUGUGUGUAUACAAGGGCUGUCAAAAGAUUUCUUUUUUGUAAUCGUGAUUAAUCAUACUUUGAAUUUCAUUGUGAAAAUUGUGUUGUUUUGCAGUUUUCAGGACGUAACGUAAAGCAUUCAUCAGCCUGAACAAUCAGUUCAAAAGUUGAAUUUUAAGCCAUUUUUGAAGUUUUGAAGCACUGCGACUUCCUGCAGCGACUGAUUUCUUCUUACCAGAGCAUCUUGAUUGGGAGUCGAACUCAGAGAAAGAAUUUUCUUUUUUGGACCUUGUUGGAUUUUCUUUCAAAAUAAAAGUGUCAUGUAGACCAACUUAAUGCAAUGUCUGUUAAAAAUACAGUUUUCAAACUGGAAAAAAAAAACAAAAAACAAAGUCUAAUUAUGAGAUUAGUCACGAUUAAAAAAAUGAAUCUUUAGUCAUCCUUACAUUAAUUGUGAUUAAUGCGAUUAACUCUGACGGCUCUCGUGUAUACAAAUAUAUAAAUCACAUUGAUAUACCAGUAUAUCUGUAUAUUUGUUUAUCCAUUUAUAUACUGUAUGUGUAUGCAUAUUUUGUCUGUGCAUACACAUGAAUAUAUAUACACCAUAUAUAUGUGUUUAUGGACUGUGUGUGUGUGUGUGUGAGAGAGAGAAUCUGCCGUGUGCUUUGUAAAGCUGCUGUGGAGUUUCGUACCUGCUCGCCGCGGCGCGGCGGACCAGCCGGCGCGGCUCUGGCCUGUUGUUCGGCAUGCCCUCUUCUUCUUUCUGUACGUUCUCCCUUUUCCUUUCAUGUGCAAUGUUUUUCUGAGAUCUGGAUUAUAUACAGGACAUGCCUUUUUUUCAAUGUACACUCGAUGUUGUAUACGUUUUCCAGUCCACACGGUUUAUUUAACUGUAGGAAAUUUUAAGGAGAAAAAAAAAAGGAAAAAAAAAAAACCAACAACAAACUGGUAGCUCUUCAUAAUGGCAUAAAUAUAUU